AUACGGAGGGUGCAAGCGUUAAUCGGAAUUACUGGGCGUAAAGCGCACGCAGGCGGUCUGUCAAGUCGGAUGUGAAAUCCCCGGGCUCAACCUGGGAACUGCAUUCGAAACUGGCAAGCUAGAGUCUUGUAGAGGGGGGUAGAAUUCCAGGUGUAGCGGUGAAAUGCGUAGAGAUCUGGAGGAAUACCGGUGGCGAAGGCGGCCCCCUGGACAAAGACUGACGCUCAGGUGCGAAAGCGUGGGGAGCAAACAGGAUUAGAUACCCGGGUAGUCUACGCCGUAAACGAGGUAGAUUGGGAGGUUGUGCCCUUGAGGCGUGGCUUCCGGAGCUAACGCGUUAAAUCGACCGCCUGGGGAGUACGGCCGCAAGGUUAAA
rnacentral:rRNA from 1 species